UACGGAGGGUGCAAGCGUUGUUCGGAUUUAUUGGGCGUAAAGGGCGUGUAGGCGGCUCGUUAAGUCUGAUGUGAAAGCCCUGGGCUCAACCCAGGAAGUGCAUUGGAAACUGGCGAACUUGAGUACGGGAGAGGGCAGUGGAAUUCCCAGUGUAGGAGUGAAAUCCGUAGAUAUUGGGAGGAACACCGGUGGCGAAGGCGGCUGCCUGGACCGAUACUGACGCUGAGACGCGAAAGCGUGGGGAG
rnacentral:rRNA from 1 species